rfam:Dipodomys ordii contig_9594, whole genome shotgun sequence.
GGUGGCUCAGUGGUAAAGCGCAUGCCUUGCAUGCAUGAGGCCCUGAGUUUGAUUCCUCAGCACCA